GGGGAUGUAGCUCAGUGGUAGAGCGUGUACUUCGCGCGUACGUGGUCCCGGGUUCGAUUCCCGGUAUCUCCA
rfam:Fukomys damarensis contig123985, whole genome shotgun sequence.